rnacentral:rRNA from 1 species
AGAUUGAACGCUGGCGGCAGGCCUAACACAUGCAAGUCGAGCGGUAGAGAGGUGCUUGCAUCUCUUGAGAGCGGCGGACGGGUGAGUAAUGCCUAGGAAUCUGCCUAGUGGUGGGGGAUAACGUUCGGAAACGGACGCUAAUACCGCAUACGUCCUACGGGAGAAAGCGGGGGACCUUCGGGCCUCGCGCCAUUAGAUGAGCCUAGGUCGGAUUAGCUAGUUGGUGAGGUAAUGGCUCACCAAGGCGACGAUCCGUAACUGGUCUGAGAGGAUGAUCAGUCACACUGGAACUGAGACACGGUCCAGACUCCUACGGGAGGCAGCAGUGGGGAAUAUUGGACAAGUGGGCGAAAGCCUGAUCCAGCCAUGCCGCGUGUGUGAAGAAGGUCUUCGGA